UUGUCUCAAAGAUUAAGCCAUGCAUGUCUCAGUACAAGCCACAUUAAGGUGAAACCGCGAAAGGCUCAUUAAAUCAGUUAUGGUUCCUUAGAUCGUACCCACAUUUACUUGGAUAACUGUGGUAAUUCUAGAGCUAAUACAUGCAAACAGAGUUCCGACCGGAGACGGGAGGAAUGCUUUUAUUAGAUCAAAACCAAUCGGCGGCGGGCGCGCUCGCGCGUCCGUUCGCCGCUCAAUUUGGUGACUCUGAAUAACUUUCGGCUGAUCGCACGGUCUCGCACCGGCGACGCAUCUUUCAAAUGUCUGCCUUAUCAACUGUCGAUGGUAGGUUCUGCGCCUACCAUGGUCGUAACGGGUAACGGGGAAUCAGGGUUCGAUUCCGGAGAGGGAGCCUGAGAAACGGCUACCACAUCCAAGGAAGGCAGCAGGCGCGCAAAUUACCCACUCCCGGCACGGGGAGGUAGUGACGAAAAAUAACGAUACGGGACUCAUCCGAGGCCCCGUAAUCGGAAUGAGUACACUUUAAAUCCUUUAACGAGGAUCAAUUGGAGGGCAAGUCUGGUGCCAGCAGCCGCGGUAAUUCCAGCUCCAAUAGCGUAUAUUAAAGUUGUUGCGGUUAAAAAGCUCGUAGUUGAAUCUGUGUCUCGCGCUGUCGGUUCACCGCCCGCGGUGUUAAACUGGCACGUCCGCGAGACGUCCUGCCGGUGGGAUCGCGCGUCGCCGCUCCGGCGGUCGGCGCGCGUCCCGACUUGAAAUCCUACCGCGGUGCUCUUCACUGAGUGUCGAGGUGGGCCGGCACGUUUACUUUGAACAAAUUAGAGUGCUCAAAGCAGGCUAAAACUUCGCCUGAAUACUGUGUGCAUGGAAUAAUGGAACAGGACCUCGGUUCUAUUUUGUUGGUUUUCGGAACCCCGAGGUAAUGAUUAAUAGGGACAGAUGGGGGCAUUCGUAUUGCGACGUUAGAGGUGAAAUUCUUGGAUCGUCGCAAGACGGACAGAAGCGAAAGCAUUUGCCAAAAAUGUUUUCAUUAAUCAAGAACGAAAGUCAGAGGUUCGAAGGCGAUCAGAUACCGCCCUAGUUCUGACCAUAAACGAUGCCAGCUAGCGAUCCGCCGACGUUCCUCCGAUGACUCGGCGGGCAGCUUCCGGGAAACCAAAGCUUUUGGGUUCCGGGGGAAGUAUGGUUGCAAAGCUGAAACUUAAAGGAAUUGACGGAAGGGCACCACCAGGAGUGGAGCCUGCGGCUUAAUUUGACUCAACACGGGAAACCUCACCAGGCCCGGACACCGGAAGGAUUGACAGAUUGAGAGCUCUUUCUUGAUUCGGUGGGUGGUGGUGCAUGGCCGUUCUUAGUUGGUGGAGCGAUUUGUCUGGUUAAUUCCGAUAACGAACGAGAC
rnacentral:rRNA from 1 species